rnacentral:rRNA from 1 species
UACGAAGGGAGCUAGCGUUGUUCGGAAUCACUGGGCGUAAAGCGCACGUAGGCGGAUUUGUCAGUCGGGGGUGAAAUCCCGAGGCUCAACCUCGGAACUGCCUCCGAUACAGCAAAUCUCGAGUCCGGGAGAGGUGGGUGGAAUUCCUAGUGUAGAGGUGAAAUUCGUAGAUAUUAGGAAGAACACCAGUGGCGAAGGCGGCCCACUGGCCCGGUACUGACGCUGAGGUGCGAAAGCUAGGGGAGCGAAAGGG